rnacentral:lncRNA from 1 species
ACACAUUAGAGCAUUAAAGUACACUCGUAUUUGAGGUCAAUAGUGUUUUAUUUAACUUAUUUUAAGGAAAUGAUUGGCAAAGAUUAAAAUAUCCAAGAAAGAAAUAUGUAAUUUUAAUAUUUAAUAUGAACAAAAAAUAAAUAUUUUACUCGUUUCGUGAUUUUUAAUAAUAAUAAUAAUAAGAAUAAUAAUAAAAAUAAUAAGAAGAAAGAAGAAAUCACGGCUCAUUCACAGCUCAUAUGAAAGAAAAAAAAAACUAAAAAUGAAAGAAGAAAUCGAAUACUCAAACUAUAGAAGAAAAGACUUUAAACAAAAACUCAGAAACACAGGACCUAUUCACAGCUCAUUCAAUCUUGGCAGUUCAUUCAUUUCUCAGCCAUAUCAUUCAAUCAGAAACUGCACAAUCAUAAUUCUCAACUUUAAAUCUCAGUAUCAUCAAUCCAAGCAAGUGAAAAACAACUUCAUUUAGCCAAUGUCAGCAAUGAACAUAUUCAGAAAAGUAGAAAUCAGUUUCAGCCUCACAGGAAGUGUUUACACUUAUAUUCACUCAACUGUUUAGGCUCAUUGAUGGGUGUCGCAGCCCAUACAAAUUUGAUUGCAUAUUAGAACUGCAGUAUAGACUAGGAAGUGACUCCUAGGUCAUCUCUCAAGGACCAAUUUUGCGGUUCAAGAAUUGAAUCUAACACGGAAAGGGGGGGUUGAAAAGGUUUUGCAAUAAUUAAAGAACUCAAUAUAAAGACACAGAUGCAACAAACUAAUUUAAGCUAGCAUGGUAAUUAAACUAACACUAUUAAAAACCUUAGACAACAUUCAACAUCAAAUACUCUUGCAAACAAAUUAACAAGCACAGUUAAAAAUAAUUAAAUGCAACACUAACUCAAACACAUAAACUCAACCUAUUAACUAA